UCUCUGUCUCUGUCUCUUCCUCUUUU
rnacentral:sRNA from 1 species